ensembl:processed_transcript
AAACAGAGGAAGUUUUCGCAUUCUGACUGCAGCCUGAGUUCCCCGGAGCAAGGCUGCUUCUCUCCACCCACUCCUCACCAAGAACUCCUGAACUUGAGAGUGGACGACUUCAAAGCUAGCUCCCACAGACUCACCUGGAAAAGAGUUCAGCUGCGCGUUCAUUGAACUGAGAGGCCAGAUCACCUAUGUGAGGCGGUGGGAACCAUAUGGAGAUUUAUAUUAGAACUUCAGCAAAGUGCACAGCUGCAGCCGGCAGAAGCCAGCUCUCGGGCUGACAGGCAAAUGAACCAGAUCGUGGACGGGGCCUCUGGGUGGCAGCUCCGGCCUUUUGGUUGUUGGACAACUAUAGUCAGAACUGAAAUGGAACAGGGGCAGGAGAAAUAACACACUUUUACUCCACGCAACUGUUGCUUUCACAUGAUCUUCAGGAAUGUAACUGGGAUAAUUGUCCAAAUCGAAUCCCAUGCCCUGUCAUGCAUACCAGAAUAGGAGUCCUGUCUUAACUGAGCAAUAUACACUAUGGAGAGAUCCUUCAAAACCCGUCGGGACGAAUAACAGAUGAAUUCAUAAAACUGUUCAUCUCUGUUAUCCUGAAUGGUCACUCAGACAACAUUUUACUCAACUAUAAAGGGGAACACUUAAAGUGCAUAUGAGAAGAGAAGAGAAUGACCACAGGAGAAAAUCAUCUCAGGUAAAACGAAAAGGCACAAAUGUAGAGAGUAAUUAAUCUUAGAAUAUUAAAGAGAAAAUGAUUAUGUCUGUGUUUGGUAUAAGAAAUGGUCCUUCCCUUUAUGAAGCUACGUAUUUGGGAUUUUCACUGAUGGUUUUCCUUCAAGAGUUUACAGUAUUACUUGCCUUUGUCAACCUUUUGUUUGGUUUUGUGAUCAAUGCCCAGUGUCCAUCAUUCUGAGGACAUAUGUGUAUGUUGAUUUAUACAAUUCAGGUACAAGAUGGUUGAAUAGGAAGCUAUUUAAUGAAAAGGAAAAUAUGUUCUCAGUGGUUAUACAUUAUAAAAGGAAGUAAAAAUCUGAUAGAAAAGUAUAAGCUCAUAGUUUAUUUUUAAUCUUUUCCAUAUAUCUAGUAAGACAAUAAUGUCAAAGUAUAUUUUGUAGUAAUAAAAGCUACAGCCAGUGUUUCCUCUUUCUUUUUUUUAAACAUAAAAUGUAUAAAUAUAUAAGGAAAUACUUUUACUACAAUUGGAUGCAUGAUUGUUGAUUAUUUACUACAGUUUUAAUAAGUAGGAGAAUGAUUUGAAAAUAAAUAAUGGUGAAAAUUUGUGUAGGCCAAAUUAUCUGUAUUAAACUGGAGAAAAUACAUUCUAUUUUUAUUUAUUUCAAAACAUGCCAAAUCAUGAAGUAAUUACUAUGCAGUAUUAUUUUUCACAAUGAAGAUAUAAUUAAGAAAAGCUAAAUCAUUUUAGAUAUGAGUGCAAUGAUUAACGAUUGUACAACUUAUAAUUUUGCUUCAGAUGAGCUUAGAAUCCUAAAAAUGUACAUGUAACUGGCUUCAUGUGUGCUUACUGGCUUGCUUUCUUACAGUGUAGUAGCUGACAGAAUUAAGAAUCAUUUAUUUCAUUUCAACCUGUUGAACAGAGGAAUUAUAUGUAGCUGUGUAUUUUGUUGAAAGGAUAUAGUUCUUGGGAAAUAGAUUUAAAUGUGUUUUGUUGAAAGGGAAUGUAUGCUCCUUGGUGUGAUAUAAGCGACUACAAAUAUUCCAGAAUAGCAGGAAUAACACCGAUCAUGUCAUUGAUUUUAGGGUUUUUUGAUACCAUAUCUUUUCCUCACUGCUGUAAAAGUUUAAUUUCAUCCCCACUGUAGGCACAUGUCUGUACAUCUAGAAUUUGUGGGUUUUGUGUUCUUUACCUAGUCAACAAGACCUCAUUUGUUUAUAAAAAGCUAUAAUGUGACUAAAUCUCAAAAAUCAUUAACUGAGUUUUAUGUGAAUAAAUACAGUCACUCUAGUGCAUAUACAGUUUAAUAACUUCCUUUUUAGUUGUAGACUUAUCAUACUAUAUCUGUGCCUCACAACAGUAUAAUUCAUAUGUACAUAUAUUAGGUUCUCAAUUAGGACAUUUUAACAACAACGUUAAAAUAUUCACAGUUUAAAACAAAAGCAAUCUUUAAAAAAGAAAAAAUCAAGAAGAAAAGAGAGAAGUAAGAAAAGAAGAAAGGGAGGG